UACGAAGGGGGCUAGCGUUGCUCGGAAUCACUGGGCGUAAAGCGCACGUAGGCGGACUCUUAAGUCGGUGGUGAAAUCCUGGAGCUCAACUCCAGAACUGCCUUCGAUACUGGGAGUCUCGAGUCCGAGAGAGGUGAGUGGAACUGCGAGUGUAGAGGUGAAAUUCGUAGAUAUUCGCAAGAACACCAGUGGCGAAGGCGGCUCACUGGCUCGGUACUGACGCUGAGGUGCGAAAGCUAGGGUAGCAAACGGG
rnacentral:rRNA from 1 species